rnacentral:rRNA from 1 species
UACAGAGGUCUCAAGCGUUGUUCGGAUUCAUUGGGCGUAAAGGGCGCGUAGGCGGCGGCGUAAGUUCGUGGUGAAAUCCCAUCGGCUCAACCGUGGAAUUGCUUCGAAUACUGCGUCGCUCGAGGGAGAUAGGGGACCGCAGAACUGCCGGUGGAGCGGUGAAAUGUGUUGAUAUCGGCGGGAAUGCCAGUGCCGAAAGGGGCGGUCUGGACCUCUUCUGACGCUGAGGCGCGAAAGCUAGGGGAGCGAACGGGG